rnacentral:rRNA from 1 species
UACGUAGGGUGCAAGCGUUAAUCGGAAUUACUGGGCGUAAAGGGCGUGUAGGCGGUCAAGUAAGUGGAAUGUGAAACGCCUCGGCUUACCCGAGGACCUGCAUCCCAAACUGCUUGGCUUGAGUAUGGGAGAGGAUGAGGGAAUUCCUGGUGUAGCGGUGAAAUGCGUAGAUAUCAGGAGGAACACCGGUGGCGAAAGCGCUCAUCUGGCCCCAAAUACUGACGCUGAGGCGCGAAAGCUAGGGGAGCAAACGGG